CUACUUGCUUCAGCAGUACAAAUACUAAAAUUGGAAUGAUACAGAGAUUAGCAUGGUCCCUGUGCAAGGAUGACACAGAUUUGUGCAGCGUUCCAUAUUUUU